rnacentral:lncRNA from 1 species
GCUACUUGGUGGCAAGUUGAUUACACUGGACCCCUUACACCAUGGAAAGAGCAACUUUCUAUAAUUACUUCAAUGGACACCCUGCAUACAUAUUUUUCUUUCCUACACACUAUGCUUCUGCCCAAACUACUUAUGUACUUAUAGAAUGCCUUAACCACUAUUAUGGUUUCCUACAUACCACUGCUUCUGAUCAAGGAAUUCCAUCCAGAGCAAAAGAAGUCUGGGCCUAUGCUCAUGAAAUUUACUGGUCUUAUUAUGUUACCCACCAUCCUGAAGCAGCUGGCAUGACCAGUGUCAGCAAAGUGGCAAUACCUUGCAGAGACAGGAGUCACGUGGAACUGAUGCUGUUUUUCUCAGUUAUUGAAUCAUAACAAUCAUGUCAUUUUAGCAGAAGAGCUGUAAAAGAUAGUUUGCAUGAAAACCUGUGUCAAGAAAAAUGAAUCUAAAAUGAGUAGACGAAAAUAAAUAAAUAAGUAAAAUGU